GUCAUGUAAAGCAUGAAAUCACGGAAUAAAGCUUAUUAGAGAUUAAGUUAAGGAGGUUCCUCAAAGCAAGAGAGGUCACGAUUGUGAACAAGACAGCUCUUCAGGUUGCUUGUCUUCAUAAAUCUUCCGCUUUUAUUUCUCUCUCAUCCGCUGUUAAUCAUGUCUAACGCAGCUAAGGAGGUUCCUCAAGGCAAGAGAGAUCACGAUCGUGAACAAGACAGCUCUUCAGCUAUGGAGGUUCCUCAACGCAAGAGAGAUCGCGAUCGUGAACAAGACAGCUCUUCAGGUUUGAAAACACUGAAUAUGAACAUUAACACUUUUCUACAAGUAAAUUUCUCAUGCCUAGAGUAGAGCUACAUAUUUGCAAGUUAACUGCAAAUAUCGAUCAUAACCUUAAAUUUUGUUUGAAAGUAAAAUUAGUACAACGACAUGAAGAUGGAGAAACAGGAAGCUUAUGGAUACUGCAAAUAUUGCAUGCCUUUCAGAGCUGUUAGUUGGA